GCAGCUCAGUUGGUAGAGCAUGAGACUCUCAACCUCAGAAUCAUGGGUUCAAGACCCACACUG
rnacentral:tRNA from 1 species